ACGCACGCUGGCGGCGUGCUUAACACCUGCCAGUCGAACGAAGAGCGAUGGAAGCUUGCUUCUAUCAAUCUUCGUGGCGAACGGGUGAGUAACGCGUAAUCAACCUGCCCUUCAGAGGGGGACAACAGUUGGAAACGACUGCUAAUACCGCAUACGAUCUAAUCUCGGCAUCGAGGAUAGAUGAAAGGUGGCCUCUACAUGUAAGCUAUCACUGAAGGAGGGGAUUGCGUCUGAUUAGCUAGUUGGAGGGGUAACGGCCCACCAAGGCGAUGAUCAGUAGCCGGUCUGAGAGGAUGAACGGCCACAUUGGGACUGAGACACGGCCCAGACGCCUACGGGAGGCAGCAGUGGGGAAUCUUCCGCAAUGGACGAAAGUCUGACGGAGCAACGCCGCGUGAGUGAUGACGGCCUUCGGGUUGUAAAGCUCUGUUAAUCGGGACGAAAGGCCUUCUUGCGAAUAGUGAGAAGGAUUGACGGUACCGGAAUAGAAAGCCACGGCUAACUACGUG
rnacentral:rRNA from 1 species